ACUUCCUUCAUCAACCUCUCAAAAUAACUAGCCAAUUUCCUUUUCUUCUUCACACUACCAUCGGAUUCUUUCCCCGAGGACGAGGUCGUGGACGUGGAUGUGGACAUGAACCCCGGAUUAAAACCCCGAACUCGACUAUGAUCCAUUCCAAAAUCCUGACAUCCACUAGCAGCUGGUUUUAUCAUUGUCAUUGGCAUAGGCAUUGGUACAGGCAUUGUUUCCAUUCUAUUGAUUUGGCUAUGGUUUAAUGGAGGCGAUGAAAACAAGGAUUGGCUAUCUAAAAGCUCUAAUUGCUCGAAAAAUCGAUAGUUUUUCCCAGUUUGUCUACCAGAUCUACCAUCUUUAGUUCUCUUAUGAUACUUAUAAAUGUUCUCAAACUUCUCCCUGCAUUUCUUCGCAUUUCGAUUAUACCCAAGCUCAGCCAUCUUCCUAGAAAUUUCAUCCCAGAGAGGGCUUUUGAGAUUGGAAUCACGAAAUGCAACAUCCAUUUCCGAUCUUAUUUUGAGUAAAGCCAAAGUUUCUUCAUGUGGCCAACGAUUUCCACCUGAAAAAUUCUUAUCUUCUUCCUCUGAACCUCCACCGACACUUCCACCACCACCACCACCUUCAUUCUUCAGCUCCGACGCUUCACCAUCGGCGCCGGUGACGGCGCCACCAGCAGCUGUAUUCUCCAACAAAACAGAACUUUCUAGCAUUUUUUUUUCUUCUUACAAAG
rnacentral:misc_RNA from 1 species